rnacentral:tRNA from 1 species
GGGCCGUUAGCUCAGUUGGCUAGAGCGUCUGCUCGACACGCAGAAGGUCAGAGGUUCAAGUCCUCUACGGCCCACCA